rnacentral:rRNA from 1 species
GAUGAACGCUAGCUACAGGCUUAACACAUGCAAGUCGAGGGGUAACAAGAGAAAAGCUUGCUUUUCUUGUUGACGACCGGCGCACGGGUGAGUAACGCGUAUCCAACCUGCCCAUAACUAGGGAAUAACCUUGCGAAAGUAAGACUAAUACCCUAUAAUUUCCUUUGACGGCAUCUGACGAGGAAUAAAGAUUUAUCGGUUAUGGAUGGGGAUGCGUCUGAUUAGCUUGUUGGCGGGGUAACGGCCCACCAAGGCAACGAUCAGUAGGGGUUCUGAGAGGAAGGUCCCCCACAUUGGAACUGAGACACGGUCCAAACUCCUACGGGGUGCAGCAGUGAGGAAGAUUGGUCAAUGGGCGGAAGCCUGAACCAGCCAAGUAGCGUGCAGGAUGACGGCCCUAUGGGUUGUAAACUGCUUUUAUACAGGAAUAAAGUUAGCCACGUGUGGUUAUUUGUAGGUACUGUAUGAAUAAGGACCGGCUAAUUCCGUGCCAGCAGCCGCCGUAA